CACAUUUUUGUUUUUCCUCUAAGUUCUGAUAACUUAUACUGUUAUAUGUGGUACAGAACUGUGUUCAUUGUCCUAUGUUUGAGGUGGAGACACCUUAACAAGUGUGUUUCCUGUUCCAAGUGCAAUAGUUAAAUCCAAUUGUUCUGAUGACACUUAAAACAGUUUGUGCAGAAUUUUGUGGGUUUUCUUGUCUUUUUUUUUUUAUGGGUGGGGGGGCGCUCAAAGGGGGUCUCGUCCCGGAUGUCAUUCAAGGUAGAACCGCCACUGGCUAUGUGUGUCCCCCUCCAACAUCUCAACCUCAGGGUGUGAAUUACAAGGGAGCCAGAGGGAGCUGGGCUCCUCUUAAUAAGACCUGAGCUCCGCUGAAAACAUGAUUUGUGAAAUUGUGUGUGUGGUCUCUGAAACAGUUCUGGUAUCAGCCCUGGCAAAAGACAUUUUAGGCCACAAUGAUUUCUUUCCUUCUAGAGACUACCAGGCCUUUCUUUGCUCUUGUUUGCAGGAGAAAGUGAAGUAAUUCACUCAUUCAUCAUUAAGAGGUGAAGGCAACUUAUUCCACUGAGACACAACUUCCUGAAGGGACAAUAUGCUAUUUCUACCAUGUAUUUCUGUUAUUGGGGUUAUGUGUAAACUUACUGUUGAUGUAUUAUUUGUGCACAAUGGUGACUCUUCUUUUAUUCUUGUAAUCAGAACUGAAUUGUCUCAUUAACUCCUACCAGCAUCUGCUUUAAAAGUACUCUGAAUUAAAGCAGCUGUACUAUC